CGCCUUUCGAGGCAUACUGGUCAACUGAAAAUAUACAGAGAAGAUUAACAUGCCCCCUUGCACUAGAGUUGGCAUGAGUAAUCAAAGAGAAGCACCUAUUUUUU
rfam:Penicillium freii strain DAOM 242723 scaffold_31, whole genome shotgun sequence.